rfam:Trichuris trichiura, WGS project CBXK01000000 data, contig: TTRE_2029
GGGUUAGUGGUCUAGUGGUAUGAUUCUCGCUUAGGGUGCGAGAGGUCCGGGGUUCAAUUCCCGGCUAACCCC